GUUGUUUGCCAACCGCCAAUAAACCCUAGAAGAAGCGGAAAAUAUGACUCCUGUCCUCUAGUGGUCAAACGCUGUAUAAGUUUCACUUUUGAGGAUCAGACCUUCUAUGUGAAAAGUCCCUCAGACCCACACUGAAGGAGGGACUCGAGACAUUAUCAUCACAGAUGUCAGAGAUGAGGCUCUUCUGACCAGUAAACACCCACUCUGAGCACACUAGCAUAGGUGGCUUUACAGAGCUGGAGAUGGAGCAGGAACGGAUAUCUUGAGCAGUCCUCAUGUAUUUGUGUCUGAUCUUUACCAUUAUCAGUGGAAACUUAAGAUGCAAAAUAUCCCGACGGCAGCAACAAUCAACAGAGAUCCAACAGCAGCAGCAGCAGAGAUCAGAGCUGUCAGAGAGACUGGAAGAGCGUAAAAGAGAGAUAGUCAUUAAUGUAAGUGAUUGAAUCAGUGUGAUCUACAACAGAAGACAGAGAUCAGAUCAGUAAAUAAUCACAUAUAUCAGCUCUGUUGUACCUGCACAUGUGUGACAGAGGUGAGUGAUGUCCAGAUGUUGAGUCUGGUUGCUGAUGGGAUUGUUCAGCACACAGCUGUAGGUGUUUUUAUCCUGAUAUUCCACCUCCAGAGGUAGAGAGAGACU